GACAGACAGUGCGGGCGUUAUUCGGCUUGACUGGGCGUAAAGGGUAUGUAGGUGGCUUAAAUAACUAUAUCCGAAAAGCUAGAGGAUAACUGUAGAAAGGGAUAUAUAGAUUUUUGGGCUACGAGUUAAGUAGGGGUGAGAAGAACUUCUAGUGUAAGGGUAAAAUCUAACAAGAUUAGAAGGACUGUCAAGGGCGAAAGCAUCUCUCCAGACUUAACUGACGCUGAGGUACGGAGGCAUGGGGAGCAAACAGG
rnacentral:misc_RNA from 1 species